rnacentral:rRNA from 1 species
AUUGAACGCUGGCGGUAUGCUUAAGACAUGCAAGUCGAACGGAAUCUUCGGAUUCAGUGGCGGACGGGUGAGUAACACGUGGGAAUCUACUGAGUAGUGGGGGACAGCCCGGCGAAAGCCGGAUUAAUACCGCAUACGCCUACGGGGGAAAGGCGCAAGCCGCUAUUUAAUGAGCCCGCGUAAGAUUAGCUAGUUGGUGAGGUAAAGGCCCACCAAGGCAACGAUCUUUAGCUGGUCUGAGAGGAUGGCCAGCCACAUCGGGACUGAGACACGGCCCGGACUCCUACGGGAGGCAGCAGUCGGGAAUAUUGGACAAUGGGCGCAAGCCUGAUCCAGCAAUACCGCGUGUGUGAAGAAGGCCUGCGGGUUGUAAAGCACUUUCAGUUGGGAAGAUAAUGACGUUACCAACAGAAGAAGCACCGGCUAACUCCGUGCCAGCAGCCGCGGU